UUAAAACCAAAUCAACCCAAAU
rnacentral:miRNA from 1 species